AAGGAUCAUUAUUGAUUUUUCUAAGGGAGAGGUUAGGAGUCUUGAGUUGUGCUGGCCCGCAAGGGCAUGUGCAUGCUUGGGGUCUUUCUGCCUUUUUCUUUCAAUUCUCACACCAUGUGCACAUCUUGUAGGUCUUUCGGGACCUAUGUAAUUUUCAUUUAUACCCCAAAUGUAUGUCUAUAGAAUGUUUAUCCUUAUAAUUGCACAGUUGCUUUUAAGUAAGUGAUUGGGCAAGUAAGUUGUUUUUACAACUUUCAGCAAUGGAUCUCUUGGCUCUC
rnacentral:misc_RNA from 1 species